rnacentral:lncRNA from 1 species
GGUCGCUUAUAAACGAUCGCGUUAAAUAAAUUCUUGGCAGGAGUUUCAUGCUCAUCAUAGUAACGAAUGCCUUGUCAAUACUUAUAGUUUUCAUAAUGCUUAAUGAUCUUUGAUUGUAUCUUUAUUGUGCUAUUCACGUAAAGAACUUUUGAAGAAUGCUUGAAUUGUUGUAUGCGCUUUCCCAUCCAAUUCAAUAACUUAAGGAGAACUUGAAGGUUAAUUUAAGCGGACUUAAUUAACCUGGGGUGUUGAGUUUCAUGAUUGAUCGAAAGAACAAAUGAAAAUUGGUUUAUGUGCAAGUAUGUCAUGUGUGGAGAAGAACCUCCUAGCUAGCCUUCCAUCCAUUCAAUUUACUCAAUUUCGUGCAGAUUUCAUUAGUUCUUUAAUUUACUUGUUUUGUUUUCAAAUUCGUCAAAACCAAAACCCCCUUUACUUUAAAGUGUUUUAUUAGUCAAAAUCUGUUUUGAUUUGUGUUUUUAGAUGUCCCAAAAGUGUGUUAGAGUCCAAAUUUGCCUAGUUUGUGUUUUUAGGCAGAUUUGAGCGUUUUUAGCUUGUUUUGAGUCCUUUGAGUUUGUUUGAAGUUCUUUGAGUCUAGUUUAGUGUUUUUAACUUUGUUUAUAUGUUUUUAAGUCAGUUUAGAGGUUUUAGCAAGCCCUCAUAAUCUCCGGUUUAGAACGAUCCCUACUUGCAUUUAUACUACAAUUUGACAACAAGAGGGUUUAAUUUGUGUGUUAAGUUAAUUUUCGCAUCAGCGUGCCAACUCGACGGCCGAGCUCGUUCGGGGAGUAAAAUUUGUUGAUGUUGUGUUGAGCGCGCUGCUGACUUCUCGAUAUUGCGACUGCGGCCAAGGAAGGAACACUUCUCGGCCUUCGGGUU